CCCCUCUCAGGUUUGCACCUGGAGAGUUUCCAGUACUCUACCAGUCUUGGUUAUGGGAGGAAGAGUCAAGCGGAGGCAUAUCCAUUCCAUUCCUGGCUUGAGUAGUGGUUAGCCAGUGGAAGGCAAUCUGCUACAAGC